rnacentral:rRNA from 1 species
CACGUAGGGUGCAAGCGUUGUCCGGAAUUAUUGGGCGUAAAGGGCUCGUAGGCGGUCCGUCACGUCGGGAGUGAAAACUCGGGGCUCAACCCCGAGCCAGCUUUCGAUACGGGCGGACUAGAGGUAGGUAGGGGAGAACGGAAUUCCUGGUGUAGCGGUGGAAUGCGCAGAUAUUGGGAGGAACACCAGUGGCGAAGGCGGCUCACUGGACCGGUACUGACGCUGAGGCGCGAAAGCGUGGGGAGCGAACAGG